rnacentral:rRNA from 1 species
CACGCUGUAAACGAUGAAAACUAAGUAUUGCCGCGAGGCAGUGCUGUAGCUAACGCAUUAAGUUUUCCGCCUGGGGAGUACGCUCGCAAGAGUGAAACUUAAAGGAAUUGACGGGGGCCCGCACAAGCAGUGGAGCAUGUGGUUUAAUUCGACGCUACGCGAAGAACCUUACCUAGACUUGACAUCCCCUGAAUUACCUGUAAUGAGGGAAGCCCUUCGGGGCAGGGAGACAGGUGG